rnacentral:rRNA from 1 species
GAUGAACGCUGGCGGCGUGCCUAAUACAUGCAAGUCGAGCGAACGGACGAGAAGCUUGUUUCUCUGAUGUUAGCGGCGGACGGGUGAGUAACACGUGGAUAACCUACCUAUAAGACUGGGAUAACUUCGGGAAACCGGAGCUAAUACCGGAUAAUAUUUUGAACCACAUGGUUCAAAAGUGAAAGACGGUCUUGCUGUCACUUAUAGAUGGAUCCGCGCUGCAUUAGCUAGUUGGUAAGGUAACGGCUUACCAAGGCAACGAUGCAUAGCCGACCUGGGAGGGGGUUCGGCCCCACUGGAACUGAGACACGGUCCAGCCCCCUACGGGAGGCAGCGGUAGGGAAUCUUCCGCAAUGGGCGAAAGCCUGACGGAGCACCGCCGCGUGAGUGAUGAAGGUCUUCGGAUCGUAAACCUCUGUUAUUAGGGAAGAACAUAUGUGUAAGUAAAUGUGCACAUCUUGACGGUACCUAAUCAGAAAGCCACGGCUAACUACGUG